rnacentral:rRNA from 1 species
UACGGGGGGGGCUAGCGUUGUUCGGAAUUACUGGGCGUAAAGCGCGCGUAGGCGGAUUGUUAAGGCGGGGGUGAAAUCCCGGGGCUCAACCCCGGAACUGCCUUCGAUACUGGCAAUCUGGAGUUCGAGAGAGGUGAGUGGAAUUCCGAGUGUAGAGGUGAAAUUCGUAGAUAUUCGGAGGAACACCAGUGGCGAAGGCGGCUCACUGGCUCGCUACUGACGCUGAGGUGCGAAAGCGUGGGGAGCAAACAGG